CGCCGCGUGAACGAAGAAGUCCUUCGGGAUGUAAAGUUCUUUUAAAUGGGAAGAAGAAAGUGACGGUACCAUAGGAAUAAGCCCCGGCUAACUACGUGCCAGCAGCCGCGGUAAGACGUAGGGGGCAAGCGUUACCCGGAAUCACUGGGCGUAAAGGGAGCGUAGGCGGCCUUUCAGGUUGUAUGUUAAAGACGACGGCUUAACCGGAGAAAUGCAUACAAAACCGAAAGGCUUGAGGAUAUCAGAGGAAAAGGGAAUUACCAUUGUAGGGGUGAAAUCCGUAGAGAGUGGUAAGAAUGCCGGUGGCGAAGGCGCUUUUCCGGGGUAUACCUGACGCUGAGGCUCGAAAGCUAGGGGAGCGAACCGGAUUAGAUACCCUGGUAGUCCACGCCCUAAACGAUGUACACUAGUUGUUGCCAUGCUAGACAUGGCAGUAAUGCAGUUAACACAUUAAGUGUACCGCCUGGGGAGUACGGUCGCAAGAUUAAAACUCAAAGGAAUAGACGGGGACCCGCACAAGCGGUGGAGCAUGUGGUUUAAUUCGACGAUACGCGAAGAACCUUACCUGGACUUGACAUUUACAGAACUUUCAAGAGAUUGAUUGGUGUCUGCUUGCAGAAACUGUAGGACAGGUGCUGCACGGCUGUCGUCAGCUCGUGUCGUGAGAUGUUGGGUUAAGUCCCGCAACGAGCGCAACCCU
rnacentral:rRNA from 1 species